AGGGAAGUUCCCAAAGCGCCUACAGGUCAGGUGUUCCCCAGCAGGGGAGCAGCCGUGGCCCCGGGUCCCUGCAGGCUGCGCCUGACCUUUCUGGUCAGUUCCAGAGCAGGAGUUAAUUACUGCCCGAAAUGCCAUCCCCUUCCAGCUUUUUAAAUAUCAAGGACAUAUUUUAAAUGGAGGGGAAAAUAAUGUUUUUACAGCAGAACGGCUGCUAAAUAUCGGCGCUCCUCACCUCACGCUCACGAUGUGGCCGUCGGGACGCUUCUGCAGGGAGGCCUUUACCACCCAGGCUGUGUGCUCCCGACUGGAGGAUCAGGAAUGAGAAUCCCAGACCUAAAGCUGAUGAAGCUGGGGGCACAAGGACCUUCUGGGAAUCCUCGCUUUGUGCCGGGUGAAAUUUACUUCUGCUGCAUGAGCCGUGUGGGCCAAGAUGGACUGUCCCCUGCUGGGCCCGGACAGCACCUGCCCACGGG
rnacentral:antisense_RNA from 1 species